GUGUUCACGUUGGCAGUGCAUACACUAAAAUUGGAAUGAUACAGAGAAGAUUAGCAUGGCCCCUGCACAGGAAUGACACACAAAUUCAUGAAGCAUUCCAUAUUUUU